AUAAACUACUAGGGGUGCCCGGUUUAGGGCUGAGAGAAAAACAAAUUCGUUUUUUAACCCUUUGGACCUGAUCUGGAUCAUACCAGCGUAGGAAAGUAGUGGAAAAAAAUU
rnacentral:ncRNA from 2 species